rnacentral:tRNA from 1 species
GCCGGAGUGGCGAAAUAGGCAGACGCAAGGGACUUAAAAUCCCUCGACCGAAAGGUCAUACCGGUUCGAUCCCGGUCUCCGGCACCA